UAAUAAUAACUUUCUUCGUCAUGGAUGAUUAAUCGUUCAUGUUCUCUAUCUGCCCCCACAAAAAUUGAUGAAAUGAAAAUCACAUAUCAUUUACUAGCUUAUUCAAGAGUUGGCUGGCUGUUCUUCAAUUUUCCUGCAACUAUUUAUAGAGUAAUGUCACUCUCACCUUCCUGAUGCGAAGAAGUUACCUAUAAAUAUCUUUCACAAUUACUAACAUUUAUUCCAUAAUUAGACAUUAGAAAUAUUUGUUGUAAAAACCGGUAGUAUGGAGAAAUUGAUUCUAUUAAAUGGUCCACCAGAUAGAUCUUUCUUUUAGCUAUUAAGAUUUUUCUGGUGGUUCCAUAUGUUAAUUCUUCCCAUGCUUUAGUGUAGGCCCAUGAUCUGUGGUUGCAUAUGCUUUUGUUUCCUCUCCCUAUGUCACUAUGUGGGCUAUAAUACUUUAUUAGAUGCUGUUACUGGCUGCCAAAAUUUUCUCUUCCAAGUAUCUGGUUUUGUGGGCCAAUUUUUAAUUAUGAUCGCUGUUUUUGGAAGUACUUUCACAUAGACUGAAAUAUGUGUCUUCUGAAUUCUCGGAUCAACUUCUGUUAAUAUAAGUUUUUCCCCCUUGUAAAGGCAAUCUUACCUAUAUGUAGGGGACAGAUCAACAUAUCUCAGUCGUCCAUUCGUUUAUCGAAUGGUAAAAUAGAUCCCCGUCCUCAGUUUAAUAUGGGUGAUACCAUAGUUUAGUUUUGCUGACAGUAAUUUAUAUGAAAACGGUGCCAUUUGGAAUUAAGCUGCGGACGGGACUGUAGCGAAAAAUGACAUCAUUUAAGGGCCGUCCAUACCUAGCGUCCGCAGUUUAAUUUUGCGGGCGGGGAAUUUGUAGCUGGAGGGAUAUUUUGGACAUCUUUCCCGUCCGCGGAAUUAAACUGUGAUAUCACCCAUAUUAAACUGUGGACGGAGAUCUAUUUUACCGUUUAAUGAACGGAUGGACGAGUGAGAUCUGUUGUAAGGAUAACUGUAUCCUUACAACGUUAGAUAUGCCCCCAUAU
rnacentral:lncRNA from 1 species